CAAAGAUUAAGCCAUGCAUGUGACUACUGGCGGGAUC
rnacentral:rRNA from 2 species